rnacentral:lncRNA from 1 species
CUGCCUACAUCAAACAAAUCUGCCGUACUCCGAUAGCCAUAUCGGAGUACGACAGCGUCUUGAUGCCCCACGUAAAACACAUAAGAGCCCCGACCCUCGCCCCCAUCUUACCUCCAUUCCCGGCUGGACGUCGGCCCCAUCUUCCGAGGCCUGCUGCACGUGCAGCACAUGGAUGGGAACAUGACAAUUAGGGCAGGCACGUCAAUGGCGGAGGCAAAACAUACACGCCCCCCUCCCCCAACCAGCCCCAGCCACCCUCCAUAGCAUCAGGAACAAGAAAGAGGGCAACGGGUAACGAAUCCACAACGAAACACACAAACGUGGCACAGAUGUGGCCCACCACUACCUGCCUACAUCAAACAAAUCUGCCGUACUCCGAUAGCCAUAUCGGAGUACGACAGCGUCUUGAUGCCCCACAUAAAACACAUAAGAGCCCCGACCCUCGCCCCCAUCUUACCUCCAUUCCCGGCUGGACGUUGGCCCCUCUUCCGAGGCCUGCUGCACGUGCAGCACAUGGAUGGGAACAUGACAAUUAGCAUCAGGAACAAGAAAGAGGGCAACGGGUAACGAUUCCACAACGAAACACACAAACGUGGCACAGAUGUGGCCCACCACUACCUGCCUACAUCAAACAAAUCUGCCGUACUCCGAUAGCCAUAUCGGAGUACGACAGCGUCUUGAUGCCCCACAUAAAACACAUAAGAGCCCCGACCCUCGCCCCCAUCUUACCUCCAUUCCCGGCUGGACGUCGGCCCCUCUUCCGAGGCCUGCUGCACGUGCAGCACAUGGAUGGGAACAUGACAAUUAGCAUCAGGAACAAGAAAGAGGGCAACGGGUAACGAUUCCACAACGAAACACACAAACGUGGCACAGAUGUGGCCCACCACUACCUGCCUACAUCAAACAAAUCUGCCGUACUCCGAUAGCCAUAUCGGAGUACGACAGCGUCUUGAUGCCCGACAUAAAACACAUAAGAGCCCCGACCCUCGCCCCCAUCUUACCUCCAUUCCCGGCUGGACGUUGGCCCCUCUUCCGAGGCCUGCUGCACGUGCAGCACAUGGAUGGGAACAUGACAAUUAGCAUCAGGAACAAGAAAGAGGGCAACGGGUAACGAUUCCACAACGAAACACACAAACGUGGCACAGAUGUGGCCCACCACUACCUGCCUACAUCAAACAAAUCUGCCGUACUCCGAUAGCCAUAUCGGAGUACGACAGCGUCUUGAUGCCCCACGUAAAACACAUAAGAGCCCCGACCCUCGCCCCCAUCUUACCUCCAUUCCCGGCUGGACGUCGGCCCCAUCUUCCGAGGCCUGCUGCACGUGCAGCACAUGGAUGGGAACAUGACAAUUAGCAUCAGGAACAAGAAAGAGGGCAACGGGUAACGAUUCCACAACGAAACACACAAACGUGGCACAGAUGUGGCCCACCACUACCUGCCUACAUCAAACAAAUCUGCCGUACUCCGAUAGCCAUAUCGGAGUACGACAGCGUCUUGAUGCCCCACGUAAAACACAUAAGAGCCCGACCCUCGCCCCCAUCUUACCUCCAUUCCCGGCUGGACGUCGGCCCCAUCUUCCGAGGCCUGCUGCACGUGCAGCACAUGGAUGGGAACAUGACAAUUAGCAUCAGGAACAAGAAAGAGGGCAACGGGUAACGAUUCCACAACG